AAGAAGAUGGCUUUGGCUGCCCUUGUGGACCUGUGCUUCUCUGUCUGGGCACUGCCUGUUUCUGGAAGGUGUUUCCUCUCAGCCCGGAGUUAUAGGUACAAGAGCACGCAAGAGAGCAGACAGAUUCAGCCUGGUUUCAUGUGCCUCCAGCUCUUACAGUUGUGGAGAGUUUGAGGUUGAUGGAAAUGCUUUCACAGAGGAUUUUUGUAAUCUUCACAUAAUCCUGAGAAGUAGAGAUUCAGAGGACAGUCCUCAAAACGAAAAGGUUUUUGUAGUUGUUUUCUGAAACAUCCAAGAAGUACCUGGAAAGACAAAGGGAACGAAUACCUACUACUACGAAUCACUGGAUGCUGAUAAUGUGCUAAAGGUGAUAUCUUAUUCACAGCUGCAUCAGUCAGAAGACUUCAUCAACUCACCAUUCCUCUGAGACCAUUUACAGGUUAUUAAAAAAUCCAAGUUCCGUAGAGCUGGCCUUCAACUCGGAUGUUAAGCUUGACAUGAUUCCUUUCCACGUGUUUUCAUUUUCUUCUGCGACAGCAUCUCCUGCUCCCUAAAAUAGUGCAUUUAUCUCCCAAAUUCAAUUAUCCAUAUUAACUGGGGAGCUGCUAUCGGGAUAAGUGAUAUCCGUAAAUGUUCCAAGAAGCUUUAACCUUAAUAACUUUAUCACAAUCAAUAGUUCCAAAUUCAUCAAACAGGGCUUCACUAGAGUUGCCAAAAAGGAAUACAAUUUAACUGCUCUGAGAGCUUUCACCCUGUCCUCAUCACGUGUUUCCAUGGAAGAUGCGAAGAACAGAGACACACGAGAAAGGUGGACAGGCAGAGUCAAAAACGAAACGGAAUGAGGUAUCCGACUGUCAACAAGCUGGGUAAUCUGCAUUUCCCUGAGCUCGACUCUGUUCCUCUCUGUUCUUCCUUCUGUUUUUUCUCUCUCCUCACUGGAGUGCUAAUGAAUACCUUCCACUGCUCUGGAAUGCCAUUGUGUUGUGACUGUCCUCCCUUGCGAGGUCUUUGGGGAGGCCACGAUGAGACCGGUCUCAUCCACGGCUUCAUGUCCUCCUCUCUGAUACAGUCCCCAAAGACCCUCUCCACUCAGGGCUCAAGUGCCACUCACUGGGUGGGUCAUACCCCCAGCCCCGUAAAAUGUUUCUGAAGGAUUGGGGUUCUGACAUACCUCACCCGAAUCUUUUGCAUCUUUAAUAAACGAAGUUAGUACCAAGUUAUCUUAAAGCAAUCAAGUCUUCAUUUACACCCUUUAAAUAUCUCUAGACAGUUAUCACGGCCCUCUGUCAAGCAACACGAUGACCCCGUUCUGCCCUCUCUCAGAAAUGCGAAGGAGCAGUGUUUGCGCUGUUUCAAAAAAUCUUUGGCAGCAGGGAAGAUGGACUCUGUUGUUAUCAGAAAUGGAAAGUAAAUUUGUCUCUCCUCUGUAAACAGAGACGUUUUUACACUGUUCUUCGCAGGAACUCACAGUGCAGCUUACAAACAGCAGGGAUAUGGUCAUUGGUCAUUUGUUUCCUUACUAACCAGAAAAAAAAGCCAGGGAUGUGGUCAGAUGACAAUCAUGAAAUCACAUUUUAUUGAAUAGGCUUUAUACUUGUAAGAUGUCAUCUCUUCCUUUUGUCUCUAACCUGCUUUUUUCUCUCCCCCCCUUUUUUUCUUUUUUUGGCUCUUAUCUUCUGGUAAAAUGCAUGAAUCUUCACCUUGGAGCAAACUAAACAGACUCCACUUUAAAUUCUUCAAGGACAGUGACUUUAGUUGUUAUUCGUGUGUGUGUGUGUGUGUGUGUGAAAGAGAGAAACAGCACCAAAUGAAUGAGUGAGUGAAUAAGAAAAUAAAUGAAUAAAAAUUGCAAAAGGGAUCAAACAGGAGCAAAUAUGAGAUAGUUUAAUUUAAAAAAAA
ensembl:lncRNA